UAUAUUAUUUGAGUUAUAUAGCAUAGUGGCACAAAUUAAGGUUUUUGGAGCAUUUGAUUUCAUGUUUGAGUCUAGUAUGCAUAAAAAAUUAAGGAUGCAAUUUAAUGUGCAUAUUGUUCAAAAUAGAACGACAAUUCUAUAAAUAUUGCAAAUAAGUUUUUAGAAAGGUUUACAAGCCAACUGCCAUAAUUAUCUUUGUUUUUUUAUUGUGAGGUGGUUGGACAAAAUUG
rnacentral:lncRNA from 1 species